GGAAGCGUGCCUGCCCUUGGGCCCCCUACCCUAGUCCCAACCCAGUCCCAUAAAAGCACCGCCACUACCGCCUUCCUGCCGCCCUCCUGCACCAGGCGCCCCAGCCCUUGGCGUGACCCCGUUUUCUUUGUGAAAUGAAGCCCGUGACCACAUUGAAACAAAGGAGACAGGCUGGGGGUGGUGUGCCUUUGCUCCAGCCCCUCUGCAGGUUGGGCCAUGGCCAGCAGCGUUGCCACCUGCUCCGGAUCUCACCAAGAGUGGAGCCGGCCACAGUGCUUAGCGCACAUUCUUCCUCAUUGUACACCUUUCUCACCUUGUCUCCCGGACUCCCAGGGCUCCUAUUCAUCCUUCAGAGCCCUGCCUGGCAUCUGCUGCCCAGAAGUGAGCCUUCACCACAUGAAGCUACUUUGGCUUUUUAAAAAAUUUUAUUUUUUAAAAAAG
ensembl:lncRNA